CCAUGACCAUCUCUGCCUUGACAUCAAGGAUGGUACUUUGCUCAUAUUUGUUUAUCUAGUGCAAGGAUCAUGCCUUCAAUAGAGAUUCAUAAGUGUGUAUUUAAUUGAAUAAUUCAAAAUCUCUGCCCUCAGGAGACUUGCAAUCAGAAUUGCCAGGUACCUGGUGCCAUCCUUGAAAUGAGCUUGGCCCCCUCAACCAUCGCAUACCUGAGCGACCCUAUGAGAUCAUGCCACAUCAGAAGUGAAAAGUGGGAGAGAAGAGAACAAAAGAGAACCACAUGUGAGAUGUCCAGCCACCCUGAGGCUGCCGUGUUGGAGAAGCUGAUGCAGUGAUCACCUGAAGACAUCUCAGCUAUACCUGGAGACAGGUGCACAACCUGGCCCUAGACAUCAGCCAUGAUGACGCCUGCUGCUGGUUCCAAGAUCAUGUGAGCUCCUUCCAAACCUCUGGAUCUUCCCCACAGCCGAGCAGACACAGACCGCUCUAUGCCCCGGCUGAGUCCUGACCCACAGAAGCCAAGAGCAUCGUAAAACUGUGCUUGCUUGUCUCACCCCAUGAGGUUUUAGGGUAUUUUGUACAUGAGAGUAGAUGAACAUAGCAUUCUUCAAGACACAAGGCAGGAGGCUUGUGCUACACCAUCCCUUCCCAGUUGGCAAAAAUCCCUACAGUCAGGAAGUUGAUUUUAAGAAAACUUAAAUGGCCUCUUCAAAAUGAAGCCCAUAACUUCUUUAUUUGACCUCCAAAGAGAUGGGUAACAGCUGGUUCCCACUCACACUUUAUCAUAGGACUUUAUGUCCUUGAAGAUAUUAAGAAGCUUUUCAGCUUUUUCCUCUUUGGGUCAAAUGCUCUGAAAUCUUUGCAGAUCCUUUCAUCUUUCUUCAUUUUACCUUGUAUCUGUCAUCCUCUAAAAACAGAUGCCAACAGCUUUUUUAAAGAGAUGGAGAACACCAUCGUGAAAUGAGAGACUUUGAUCAAAAUGACAAUCCUUUUGGCAUUUAAGGCACUUUAUAACAUACAAACCAUUUUCACCUGUAGAAUCCCCAGAUUCCCAUAACCACCCCUUGACAUGAAUGAGAUGUACAUUUAUUCCUCCUUCUUAAAGUGAGGCUCCUUUCUCAGACUCGUGCUUGCUGAAAUGAGAAUAGAAAACAAACCUCCUUAAGUUGCAAGUCUAUGAAUAAAGACAGAAAGGAAAUGAAAAGAAGAUGAUCUUCUGCAGUGCUUAAAUAGCAGAUUAUUUUCUCUUUAAUUUUCAUUUAUUAUAAUUUUAUCUUUUCAAUACACAAAAUCAGAACAUUUAAAAAAAAGAAAUUAUAGGUCUUUAUAAAGUGUUUGAACAGUGUUGACCUAUUUUGAACUAUGUCAUUUUUAAACAUGGGCUUCCCUGGUGGCUGAGGGGUAAAGAAUCCGUCUGCCAAUGCAGGAGACACAGGUUCAGUCCCUGGGUUGUGAAGAUCCCCUGAAGGAGGGCGUGGCAACCCAAUCCAGUGUUCUUGCCUGGGAAAUCCCAUGGACAGAGGAACUUGGCAGGCUAUACAGUCCAUGGGGUUGACUUAGCACGCAUGCAUGCAUUUUAAACAUAAAGAACUCAAAUUGUGGGCACAAUAGAAAAUUGCAUAGUAAAUGAUCUUCUCAUUGCUGUCAUUGAUUUUCAUUUUUAUAGUUCUAGAAGAAUGGUAGAAAAUGUGUUAUGGUCAGAAUUAGAAAUAGAAAUAUAUUGCAUAUCACUGGAGUAGCUUAAAAAAAUGUACAUGUAUUUGUCCAGUUACCAAUUGCCAAUGUAUUCUUUUACAUAGAUAACAUUAAGUAUUAGGCCAUGGAGAAGCAGUAGGAUUUCAUGAGUUCCAUGCGACAUCUGACAUCUCCAUCAACAAGGCACUUGAGUGAAAUUCCCACUGUAUCUAGUCCUAUGCUCGGGAUAGAAUGUAGCAAGCAAGUCAGGACAUAAUGGCCUGUGUCCCAUGAAGCUGAUAUGUGUUCACACUUACUCUCAAGGUCAGACCUUUUGGAAGCCUUAAUAAGGGCAACAGCUGGACAGGCUGUGUAUGUCUAAGUCCUGAAGAGGGCAAAAGGAGGAGGAAGGUGUGGGUGAUCAGAGAGAGGAGGGGUGAAGAUGGAAUAGAAGGUGGCUGAAGCCAAUUGUUACUCCUAUUUAGUAACGUAAGGCUACAGUCUCAGGACCACAUCUAAAAAACAGAGUGAAGAGACCCAAUGGGACACUGUGCCAUGUUAAGAUGGCAAAGAUCACGUCAUUUUCCAUGGUGACCCUCAGACAGACCCAAGGAAACCUGAUUCAAAUCUCUGCUGGAGGGCUGGCAGGGAGUUCAGAAUCAGUAUAUCUAUCAAGUCUUCCAGGCAAUGCUGAGCCACACAGAAAUGAGUGGUUCACCUGUCAUCAACAACUCAAAAAACAAAAAACAGUAACAAAAAGUAAUGUGAGUCUCAGAGAGGUUCUCUUCAAGGGCAACUAAAAUAGUCACACUGGAACCUCUGACUCCGGAAGCAGAGUCUUUUCUUCAUCACCUCAACCUGAGGGCGAGUCUUUGCACUUCCCUGAACCUCAGCGUCCUUGUGCAUAAAGUGAGCUGACCAGUUGGACUACAUCAGCCUUGAGAGCUCUGUCAUGUCUGAUGUUUGACGACGGCUUGAAUGAAACAGUUGGCCACAUCCAGGUCACCUGGAAUUAGGCUGCCAUUUUGGAUCAGAGAAACUUGUUCAGACUUUGGGCCAAAUGGUCUUCUAGUGGUCUCUGAAGUCCCCAGGAGGGAGGACUAAGCCUACGGCCCACGUAUUUCGAGAUCUAGUUGAGUUCUAGUUGGCACUCUAUCCAACGGAUCUUGCAAAAGUGAUUGCCACCAGCAACCCAGGUGCAACGGAAAGGAUGUGGGUACAAACCCUUCAGACUUGGGUGUGUCGCUUUAGACCAGGCCAGAGCCAUCAAAGCAUCAUGCUCUCCUCCACCCUUUCCGACUGCCCCGAGACUGGCACAGUGCUUAGUAAGAGCGAAAGUAACACUUGACUAUCUGGGGGCCAACAGUCUUUUCUAGGUGGUUGAAAAAUGUGCCAGACAGAGCUUCCACCAGAGAGAGAAACUUCACAGCCCAAAACAGAAACUUCUGCCGCCUGGUGUGCCAGUAUCCAGGCCUGGCCCUGUGUUCCACUGGACCACGCUGCAACAAGUGAUACGUGUACAUUUACCGGCAAGGUUUGACUGCAAAUCCUUGUUUUAAUCUGUCAUUCCGAAAUACGUAAUGGCACUUACUUAGGCCAGAAAGCCUUCUUUCGCCCAACCGUGUUUUAGAGAUAAAUUGGCAAUGAGAGGAGCCUGCACUGUUGGGCGCUGUUUGUCAGCUGAUUCUACUUAUCAAUUUAUCAGUGCCAUUCUGCAAGAAAUAGUCUCCCGUUUAGAGAUGACACUCCAUACAUAAGAGGGAAUCUUUCAGUCUUACUCGGCUGCCAGCCUAUUACAUAAGAGAAUGUGUCACCCAGCCUCAAAUAAAGCAGAAAGGCUGUGUAUGUAGGUGACACCAAAGCCAACAUGUGCUUAGCCAAAAAGUGAUUCAGUGCCUUCAGAAUGUGGCUUUGCAGAAUGAGAUUCUGUAGGAGUCAGGGGUCGAAAGUGGGAGAGUGCGGGAGAGAGAGCUGACAGCUUCCUAGCUCUGGGCAAGCUGUUCUCAGUUACAUAAGAGCAGGGAGGAGACACUGAAGGAUGAAAACUCUCUUACCCUUAAUCGCUCAAAUCAGUUGCACUCUUUGACUUGACUAUAUGUGUCUGUUCCCCAUCCCCUUCUGACUCCUUCCUUGGGCUGCAGAAUGGGCUUAAUUAGCUGGUCUGGUCAUCAGUUAUCAACUGUAACUGAGAUAAAUGGCAGUUAGGGGGUGGUGGGGAAAGGGGUCCCAUCUGUGAAGUCUCAGUGGCUCUCCAAACCAGACAAUUAAUCAAGAGCAAAGGAAGUCAGACUUCCCUGGUGGUCCAGAGGCUAAGGCUUCAUGCCCCUGAUGCAGGGGGCCUGAGUUCAAUCCCUGGUCGGGGAAUACGACGUGCCACAACUAAAACUAAAAAAAAUAAAUAUUUUCUUUGGAAAAAAAAAAAGAGCAAAGGAAGACCAUGGGCGGUUUUCAUUCAAAGACAGCAAAGCAGCCUUUUUGAGAAUGCCUCAGCAUAAUGCAGAAACCCUGAGGUACUUUCUAGGUCUGUCUGGCUCUGGACUGAACGACUUAUGCCAUGUAUUAAUAGUCUCUCUGGAUCUGUCUUUUGAAAAGCGAGGCUAAUACAUGUCUUCUGCAGAAAAGUACUGGUGAGGAAUAAUAAUGAAUUAUUAAGAAGCCCUUUCCAGUAUCAAAGUGGUGAUGUAGCAAUAAUGAGCUUUGACCAGAAGCCAUCUGUUUCGUGGGGUAGAUGCUUUAAUUGCUCCUGUUCGUCAUUAAACUGGUGCUGGAGUUGCAGGAGGGCCGAGGUAAGAGCUUAGGUGGUCUUGUGAGGCGGUCGAGCGUGGGCUUUUGCAGACGUGCAACACUGCCCUCUAUCGGCAACAGGCGUAUUCACACGCCUCUGAAGCCGACCAGCCCUUCAUCCACAGCUGAGCAGCCCUGUCCCUCAAAGCGGAGGUCGAAG
ensembl:lncRNA